AGCGAACGCUGGCGGCAGGCCUAACACAUGCAAGUCGAACGAACCUUUCGGGGUUAGUGGCGGACGGGUGAGUAACACGUGGGAACGUGCCUUUAGGUUCGGAAUAACUCAGGGAAACUUGUGCUAAUACCGAAUGUGCCCUUCGGGGGAAAGAUUUAUCGCCUUUAGAGCGGCCCGCGUCUGAUUAGCUAGUUGGUUGAGGUAAUGGCUCACCAAGGCGACGAUCAGUAGCUGGUCUGAGAGGAUGAUCAGCCACAUUGGGACUGAGACACGGCCCAAACUCCUACGGGAGGCAGCAGUGGGGAAUCUUGCGAAAUGGGCGAAAGCCUGACGCAGCCAUGACGCGUGAAUGAUGAAGGUCUUAGGAUUGUAAAAUUCUUUCACCGGGGACGAUAAUGACGGUACCCGGAGAAGAAGCCCCGGCUAACUUCGUG
rnacentral:rRNA from 1 species